UACAUGGGGUGCAAACGUUGCUCGGAAUCAUUGGGCGUAAAGCGCGCGUAGGCGGUUACUUAAGUCGAAUGUGAAAGCCCUCGGCUUAACCGAGGAAGUGCAUCCGAAACUGAGUAGCUAGAGUACGAAAGAGGGUCGCGGAAUUCCCGGUGUAGAGGUGAAAUUCGUAGAUAUCGGGAGGAACACCGGUGGCGAAGGCGGCUUCCUGGACCGACACUGACGCUGAGGCGCGAAAGCUAGGGGAGCAAACGGG
rnacentral:rRNA from 1 species